rnacentral:tRNA from 1 species
CAAAAUGUAGCUUAACUUAAAGCAUCUCGCUUACACCGAGAAGAUACCUGUUUAACUCAGGUCAUUUUGA